GGGCCCGCACAAGCGGUGGAGCAUGUGGUUUAAUUCGAUGAUACGCGAGGAACCUUACCAGGGCUUAAAUGCAGAACGACAGAGGUGGAAACACCUCCUUCUUCGGACGGUCUGCAAGGUGCUGCAUGGUUGUCGUCAGCUCGUGUUGUGAAGUGUCGGGGUUAAGUCCCAUAACGAGCGCAACCCCUAUUUCUAGUUGCCAGCGGUUCGGCCGGGACUCUAGAGAAACUGCCAGCGUAAGCUGUGAGGAAGGUGGGGAUGACGUCAAAUCAUCACGGCCCUUACGUCCUGGGCUACACACGUGCUACAAUGGUAGGGACAGAGAGUUGCCAACCCGCGAGGGUGAGCU
rnacentral:rRNA from 1 species